CAGGAUAUUAACCUACAUCCCCUGAAUGCAACUCAGAUUCUUUAAAUUAAGAUAAAGUCCUCUAGAAUGACGGGCCUCGA
rnacentral:tRNA from 1 species